UAAUAAGUGUUUAUGGCACUUUUUAAAAUCCAUAUCCACCUUGUGUGCAAUGUUUAAAGAUCUCGAGUCUUGAAAAAGUCUUGAGGUUUUUUAUAUAUCAACUCAUAUCUUGAACUAGUUUGUCUGAAAAUUGUGAAUUUACUUAAUUCAAAAUA
rnacentral:misc_RNA from 2 species